rnacentral:siRNA from 1 species
UAGAUCUCGGGAAAUGCGUAUGAG